GUGGGAAAUUAAGAGCCCUUAGGCAGCACUCAUAGGUUAAUCCCCUGAUGGAAUUUGCUUUUGGCAACCUAAAACUGAAGGAUUGUAGUGAAACAACAAAGGAAGUUCUCCAGUAUCCCCAUUAUCCAAUCUGUUGCUUAGCAGGGUGCACUUCUUGUGCAGAAUGAACCAAAAUUAAUGGUGCCAUUAUACAAAGUUGUUCCCUUGUCUAUUAGCAUUCCAGCAGGAGUUCCCAGCACCAAUGUGAUGAAACUUCUUUGGAGAACAAAAUGGACAGUGGUGGAUUUGGUACAGGACAAGGGGACUGUAGAAACCAGCAGUUCAAAAUAGGUACCAUUUAUGACUACAAAAGAGGACAUAACCACUGCACCUGCCCUGCCAAUUCUUGCACUGAUCAUGUCUACUGCAGUGGAUCAAGCUGUUAUUUUGUUCUGCUGAAGACAGGAAAAAAGAAUAAGGCAAGGGACCAAUGGAGCUCCAGAAAAUGGCCUUCAAGGCAGAGGAGAAGUGCCCGUGUGAUGUGGAACUGAAAGCAUCAGGAGGAGGAACAGCAGCAGAAGCAGCUUAGAGUACAUCUCAAGAUGAUAAAUGUAAAGUUAUUUCUAUCUUCAGUCUGGAAGAUGCAGAUCAAGCAAUUAAAAAAGAAGUAGACACA